UACAGAGGGGGCAAGCGUUGUUCGGAAUUACUGGGCGUAAAGGGCGCGUAGGCGGCCUGUUAAGUCGAACGUGAAAUCCCCGGGCUCAACCCGGGAACUGCGUCCGAUACUGGCAGGCUUGAAUUCGGGAGAGGGAUGCGGAAUUCCAGGUGUAGCGGUGAAAUGCGUAGAUAUCUGGAGGAACACCGGUGGCGAAGGCGGCAUCCUGGACCGAGAUUGACGCUGAGGCGCGAAGGCCAGGGGAGCAAACGGG
rnacentral:rRNA from 1 species